GACGAACGCUGGCGGCGUGCUUAACACAUGCAAGUCGAACGGAAAGGCCCUGCUUUUGUGGGGUGCUCGAGUGGCGAACGGGUGAGUAACACGUGAGUAACCUGCCCUUGACUUUGGGAUAACUUCAGGAAACUGCGGCUAAUACCGGAUAGGAGCUCCUGCUGCAUGGUGGGGGUUGGAAAGUUUCGGCGGUUGGGGAUGGACUCGCGGCUUAUCAGCUUGUUGGUGGGGUAGUGGCUUACCAAGGCUUUGACGGGUAGCCGGCCUGAGAGGGUGACCGGCCACAUGGGGACUGAGAGACGGCGCAGACUCCUACGGGAGGCAGCAGGGGGGAAUAUUGCACAAUGGGCGGAAGCCUGAUGCAGCAACGCCGCGUGCGGGAUGACGGCCUUCGGGUUGUAAACCGCUUUCGCCUGUGACGAAGCGGGAGUGACGGUAAUGGGUAAAGAAGCAACGGCUAACUACGUG
rnacentral:rRNA from 1 species